rnacentral:rRNA from 1 species
GAUGAACGCUGGCGGCGUGCCUAAUACAUGCAAGUCGAGCGAACAGAUGAGGAGCUUGCUCCUCUGACGUUAGCGGCGGACGGGUGAGUAACACGUGGAUAACCUACCUAUAAGACUGGGAUAACUUCGGGAAACCGGAGCUAAUACCGGAUAAUAUAUUGAACCGCAUGGUUCAAUAGUGAAAGACGGUUUUGCUGUCACUUAUAGCUGGAUCCGCGCCGCAUUAGCUAGUUGGUAAGGUAACGGCUUACCAAGGCAACGAUGCGUAGCCGACCGGAGAGGGGGAUCGGCCACACGGGAACUGAGACACGGUCCAGACUCCUACGGGAGGCAGCAGUAGGGAAUCUUCCGCAAUGGUCGAAAGCCUGACGGAGCAACGCCGCGUGAGUGAUGAAGGUCUUCGGAUCGUAAAACUCUGUUAUUAGGUAAGAACAAAUGUGUAAGUAACUAUGCACGUCUUGACGGUACCUAAUCAGAAAGCCACGGCUAACUACGUG